rnacentral:rRNA from 1 species
UACAGAGGGGGCAAGCGUUAUUCGGAAUUAUUGGGCGUAAAGGGCGUGUAGGCGGCUUCGUAAGUCUUGUGUGAAAGCCCUCGGCUCAACCGAGGAAUUGCACGAGAAACUGCGUGGCUCGAGUCCGGGAGAGGAUAGUGGAAUUCCCAGUGUAGCGGUGAAAUGCGUAGAUAUUGGGAGGAACACCGGUGGCGAAGGCGGCUAUCUGGACCGGUACUGACGCUGAUACGCGAAAGCCAGGGGAGCAAACGGG